UUCCGCUUUGGCGGUACAUAUACUAAAAUUGGAACGAUACAGAGAAGAUUAGCGUGGCGGCUGCGCAAGGAUGAUACACAAAAUCGUGAGGCGUCCCACAUUUUU